rnacentral:rRNA from 1 species
GUAGCUGGCCUUCCGAGGCAUGUGCACGCCCUGCUCAUUCCACUCUACACCUGUGCACUUACUGUGGGUCUCAGGCGAGCGUCGGUCGCUUCGCGGCGUCGUCGUUCAACUGGGCUCACGUUUUACUACAAACUAUUAAAGUAUCAGAAUGUCUACUGCGAAUUAACGCAUUUAAAUACAACUUUCAGCAACGGAUCUCUUGGCUCUCGCAUCGAUGAAGAACGCAGCGAAAUGCGAUAAGUAAUGUGAAUUGCAGAAUUCAGUGAAUCAUCGAAUCUUUGAACGCACCUUGCGCUCCUUGGUAUUCCGAGGAGCAUGCCUGUUUGAGUGUCAUGAAAUUCUCAACCUAACGAGUCUUUGCGGGCUCGGUAGGCUUGGACUUGGAGGUUCUUGUCGGCCUAACGGUCGGCUCCUCUUAAAUGCAUUAGCUCGGUUCCUUGCGGAUCGGCUCACGGUGUGAUAAUUGUCUACGCCGCGACCGUUGAAGCGUUUUGGCCGGCUUCUAAUCGUCUCGUUGGAGACACUACUCUUUAUGACCUUCUGACCUCAAAUCAGGUAGGACUACCCGCUGAACUUAAGCAUAUCAAUAAGCGGAGGAAAAGAAACUAACAAGGAUUCCCCUAGUAACUG